AGAACGAACGCUGGCGGCAUGCCUAACACAUGCAAGUCGAACGCUUCACCGGUUUCGGCCGGUGGGGAGUGGCGCACGGGUGAGUAGCGCGUGGGAACCUGCCCUGUUGUGGGGGAUAACCGAGGGAAACUUCGGCUAAUACCGCAUAAGCCGGUUGUCUUGAAAGAGAUGGCCGGGAAAGAUUUAUCGCGACAGGAGGGGCCCGCGUCGGAUUAGCUAGUUGGUGGGUAACGGCCCACAAGGCUGUGAUCCGUAGCUGGUCUGAGAGGAUGAUCAGCCACACUGGGACUGAGACACGGCCCAGACUCCUACGGGAGGCAGCAGUGGGGAAUAUUGGACAAUGGGCGCAAGCCUGAUCCAGCAAUGCCGCGUGAGUGAUGAAGGCCUUAGGGUUGUAAAGCUCUUUCGCCCGCGACGAUGAUGACGGUAGCGGGAGAAGAACGCCCCGGCUAACUUCGUGCCAGCAGCCGC
rnacentral:rRNA from 1 species